rnacentral:lncRNA from 1 species
UAUCUGGCAAGAACGCAACAGGCGUUUGUUUCAAAAGAAAAAGAAGAGAGUUUGGCAGAUUGUUGCAGACAUUACGGAUGAUAUCCUCAAGAAAUUGCAGGGUCUGGUAGUUGUGAAUUCUUCGAGGGUGUGUGAGGAGCUUUCGAAGUGGGAUGUGUUCAGUGAGCGACCUUCAAUCCAAAUUUAAUGUGUAUGGAUUUCUGGUGGUUUUUAUCGAUGGGAUUAGCCUGGUGGAUUUGUUUCAGGUUAAUGCGGCUCUCUUGUUUUUUUCUGGGUAGUUUAGGCGCCUGGAUUGUGCAUUUGUUGAGCUGCAUGUGGUGGGGUUUUUAAUUUGUAUGGUCAAGUCUGGGAGGUUUUUGCACGCUUGGCUCAGAGUUUCUCCUGUUCGAUUAAGGUGGGAUAUAAUUCUGGGAAUUAUUUAAGUCAUCUCAUUCACUGCGAGAAUGUAUUUGGCCUAAUAUUAUUGAUGGAAUUUUCUGGUGGGGCUGGUGGUAUAAUUGGCAGGCCUGGGAUUUUAUUUUCAGCUGCUAUUUUCCUUAGUUUUUGCGCUGCGUGUGUCUGGUCGCUGAUCAGAGUUGGUUGCUAUGAUUUAAGAUCUGAAAAUCUGGUGGAUAGUGCUUCCUGCUGUGAUUUAAGGUCUGAGAUUCUAGCGUCUGGUGUUUGCUG